GCAUAUCAAUAAGCGGAGGAAAAGAAACUAACAAGGAUUCCCCUAGUAACGGCGAGUGAAGCGGGAAGAGCUCAAAUUUGAAAUCUGGUGGCCUCAGGUCAUCCGAGUUGUAAUCUAUAGAAGUGUUUUCCGUGCUGGCUCAUGUACAAGUCCCUUGGAACAGGGCGUCAUAGAGGGUGAGAAUCCCGUCCUUGACAUGAACUACCAGUGCUCUGUGAUACAUUUUCAACGAGUCGAGUUGUUUGGGAAUGCAGCUCAAAAUGGGUGGUAAAUUCCAUCUAAAGCUAAAUAUUGGCGAGAGACCGAUAGCGAACAAGUACCGUGAGGGAAAGAUGAAAAGCACUUUGGAAAGAGAGUUAAACAGUAUGUGAAAUUGUUGAAAGGGAAACGAUUGAAGUCAGUCGAGCUCUUUGGAUUCAGCCGGUUCUGCCGGUGUACUUCCUUUGAGUGGGGUCAACAUCAGUUUUGAUCGCUGGAUAAAGGCUGGAGGAACGUAGUACCCUCGGGUAAACUUAUAGCCUCCUGUCACAUACAGUGGUUGGGACUGAGGAACGCAGCACGCCUUUAUGGCCGGGAUUCGUCCACGUACGUGCUUAGGAUGUUGACAUAAUGGCUUUAAACGACCGGUCUUGAAACACGGACC
rnacentral:rRNA from 1 species